GGCUACGUAGCUUAGUGGUUAAAGCACUGGUAUCAUAAACCAGGAACCGCUGGUUCGAAUCCAGCCGUAGCCACCU
rnacentral:tRNA from 3 species